rnacentral:rRNA from 1 species
GAUCAUGGCUCAGGAUGAACGCUAGCUACAGGCUUAACACAUGCAAGUCGAGGGGCAGCAUGGUCUUAGCUUGCUAAGGCUGAUGGCGACCGGCGCACGGGUGAGUAACACGUAUCCAACCUGCCGUCUACUCUUGGCCAGCCUUCUGAAAGGAAGAUUAAUCCAGGAUGGGAUCAUGAGUUCACAUGUCCGCAUGAUUAAAGGUAUUUUCCGGUUAGACGAUGGGGAG